UUGAUAAUUUAGUAAUUAAAUGAGACAAAUGCUCGAACUAAACCGUGCGAAGUUUAAGUGACCAUACUGGUGAUUUAGUAAUUAAAUAAGACUAAAAUACUCGAAUUAAACGGUGCAAAGUUUAAGUGACCAUACUGGUGGACACCGUCUCACCGCUACUGCUAGGAUCAUAGUCGUCUCCCUGUCCUCCCACCUCUGCCCACGGUCCACGGGACGACAUCCAGUCCAGCCAUGGUCGGCCCCGAGAUGCUCGUCGCCGCGACGGUGAACCAGGUCGUUCGGAAGAUCAACGAGAUCAUCGGCGUCGCGCAGGGCGAGACGAAGCUGUGCUGCAGCUUCAGCGACGACCUCGAGGGCAUCAAGGACACCCUGGUAUACCUUGAAGGCCUCCUCAAGAACGCGGAGAGCAACUCCUUUGGGAGCGAUAGGGCGAACCUGCGGCACUGGCUGGGCCAGAUCAAGUCUCUGGCUUACGAUAUCGAAGACAUUGUUGAUGGCUACUACUCCUCCAAGGAGCAAUAUGAGGGAAGCAACUAUGCUCAGAAGGGAUCUUUACUCUGCUCUUUAUCCAAUCCCAUGCUUUCGAAGGUUAGCAUGGUUCAUAAGAUGAAAUCCAAGAGGGAGUUGUUACAGACAAGGCAAAAUUUACCGACCCAGUAUCAUUUCAUCUCACAUAUUAACUCAGUGGUAAAUUAUGAUGAGAAGCAGACAACAUCAUACAGAAAUUGUGACAUCAGAAUUGUUGGGAGGGGUCCAGACUUGGAGCAUCUUAUGUACAUGUUAAUGCAGAUAAAUUUGAAAGAGCUUACCAUUAUUUCCAUAGUUGGGCCUGUGGGCCUUGGGAAGACAACCCUUGCACAACUUAUUUUCAAUGAUGCAAGAGCUGAGACAUUCAGAUUCAGAAUAUGGGUUCAUGUCUCCAUGGGCAAUGUCAGCCUCCAAAAAAUUGGGAGAGAUAUAGUUUUGCAAACUACAGAAAAAAUUGAGGGAAACAUGCAGAUGCAGUCAAUCAAGAAUGUUGUUCAAGACAUACUUAAUAAGUAUAGUUGCUUAAUAGUGUUAGAUAGCUUGUGGGGAAAAGAUGAAGAAGUGAAUGAGCUGAAGCAGAUGUUGCUUACAGGUAGAAAGACUGAAAGCAAGGUCAUAGUGACCACUCACAGCAGUAAAGUAGCAGAGCUGAUAUCCACUGUGCCACCAUACAAACUGUCUUUGUUGUCAGAAGAUGAUUGUUCAGCUAUAUUCUGUCAAAGGGCAAUUGCAGGUCAGUCUAUCAGUGACCCACUUUUCAGGGAAUAUGGAGAAGAAAUUGUUAGGAGAUGUGAAGGCAUGCCCUUGGUAGCCAAUUUUCUUGGAUCUGUGGUGAAUGCUCAAAGACAGAGGCGUGAGAUAUGGAAAGCUGCAAGGGAUAAAGACAUGUGGAAGAUAGAGGAAGACUACCCUGAAAACAAAAUUGUGCCAAUGUUUCCAUCUUUCAAGAUAGUAUACUACAGUAUGCCCCAUGAGCUAAGGUUAUGCUUUGUCUACUGUUCAAUCUUUCCUAAAGGAUAUGUCAUAGAUAAGAAAAAACUUAUUCAGCAAUGGAUUGCACUUGACAUGAUUGAAUCCAAACAUGGAACCUUGCCGCUUGAUGUUACUGCUGAGAAAUACAUUGAUGAACUUAAAGAUAUUUAUCUCCUUCAAGUUUUAGAGAGGCAUCAGAUUGAUGCAGAAAUAUCCAAUACUUCUGAAGAAAAGCUCUACAUGAAUAAUUUGGCACAUGAUCUUGCUAGGUCAGUUGCUGGUGAAGAUAUCCUUGUGAUCUUAGAUGCUGAGAAUGUACGCUGCAAUAGAAAUUAUGAUUACCGUUAUGCACAAGUGUCAACUUCUAGCUUACAAUCAAUAGAUAGCAAGGCUUGGCCUUCCAAGGCAAGGUCACUAGUUUUCAAGUCAAGUGCAGAAUUGCAGCAUGUCAGCGAAGUUCUUUCAGUGAACAAAUAUUUGCGUGUUUUGGAUAUCAGUGGGUGUUCUGUGAAGGAGAUGCCCGCUCCAAUUUUUCAGAUGAAACAACUGAGAUAUCUUGAUGCUUCAACAUUGUCCAUUGCAGAUCUGCCUCCCCAAAUUAGUGGCUUUCCUAAGCUACAGACACUGGAUCUGUCUGAUACUGAAGUAACUGAGCUACCAGCCUUCAUUGCCAACUUAAAGAGACUGAAUUAUUUGAAUCUCCAAGGUUGCAAGAAACUUAAGCAGUUGAAUAACCUAGAUUUGCUGCAUGAGUUACAUUACCUAAACUUGUCACGUUGCCUGGAAGUUAGAAGUUUUCCCGCAUCUCUGAAAAAUCUUAGGAAACUUCGUUUUCUGAACCUUUCGCAAUGUUCUAAGCUUCCAACAUUACCUGAUGAAUUAUUGCAAUCAUUCUCUAGUUUUUCUUCCAUUGUGGAUUUAAACUUAAGUGGAUUUGAGUUCCAAAUGCUACCUGACUUUUUUGGCAACAUUUGUUCACUUCAGUUUUUGAGUCUGUCAAAAUGCUCAAAACUUGAGCUACUCCCCCAAUCAUUUGGUCAGCUUGCAUAUUUGAAAGGUCUGGACCUUUCAUUUUGUUCUGAUCUUAAACUCCCAGAGUCCUUUAAGUACCUUUCUUCUCUUCAGUUUCUAAAUCUAUCACACUGCCAUAAUGUAGAAUAUCUGCCAUCUUUUGACAAACUUAGUAAUUUGGAGUAUCUUAAUUUAUCACAAUGUGCUGGACUCAAAGCAUUACCUAAGUCACUUUCAAACCAAAAAAAUCUCCAAAUUGAGGUUUUUGGGUGCCAGGAUUGCAUAGUGCAGUCAUGUUAUUUAAGCCCACAGUCCCAUACAUGCUCACAAGAAGUCAAGGAAGUUGGAUCAAGUAGUGAUAUCUCAGAUACCAUUCUAAAGGAGUCUGCAAACAGAGAUGUGGCAUUAGGAAUAAGUUUUCCAGAAAUUGAUGAAGUUGGUUAUCCACAUAAUAAUCUGAAACAAAAAUUGACAUUAUCUUAUCAUAUGGAUGGACAUAAAAGUGAAGAGCCUAAUUUCAUUACCAAGCAGAACUCAACUACAGAGACGGUACAACUAACCCCCAGGCACCAGUUCCCAUCAUCUACAUGUCGUAUUUCUUCGAUUGCAUCAAGUUCUAGUGCACUAUUUGCAUCUGGCUCCUCUUCAGAUGUCUCGAUAACUUACAAUCCAGUGUCCAAUGACAAAGCAGGCAAUCAAACAGGACCUCAGACAGAGUCAACGCAUACGGUGGUCUAAGACGAGACGAUGCGGGUAACCAAACAUAUGGUUUGUGAUUCAGUCCAGACUCACCGCUGAAUAGAGGGAGUGGUAACCCAAUGGGUGACGGAUCUAGAAUUUGACUAUAGGGUGAUACUAUCUACCAUGGCUAGUGCAUCACUUCUUCAGUCCCGUAGUGAAUAGUGAUUGAGUAGAGGCUGGUGGACUCAGUUAAAUCCCUCUUAUGCUUUUGGUGAACUGAGAUGGUUAUCAAACUAGCUAUAUUUGGACUUAUCUUGUUGUAAGACUUUUUAAAUAUGUUGUUUAUCUAUCGGAUUUGGAACAUGUAAUAUACUAGCUACUUAUGAACCUGAACUUAUAAAAUAAAUGUAAUAUACUAGCUGUACAUGUGAAUCUGAACUUAUAAAAUAAAUUGUGUUGGAUGUAUGUUGACGUUUAA